AUUCGGACGAGGUCCGAUGAUAGAGGGCGGGUGCCCAAGGAGUGGUUUAUGUGAUAGUUUAUACUUGUUGUCUGUGUGAUACUUGUAUGUGCCUGGUAGGGAGGUGAGUGGGGGCGAGGUCCCGUAUCUCACCAAUAGCAGAGUGUGGAUGGUGUUCCACAUCUCAGUAGCAGCAGUCCAGGGGCGAGGCCCAAGUUAGGAAAGGAGUGAGGGAGGGUUGGGCCCGUAUCUCACUAUCAGCAGGAGUAUGGACGAGAUUCCAUGACUCAUCAGUAGCAGGACACGGGCGAGGCCCGGAGAUAGGCGAGGGCUUAGAGCAAGAGCUGUUAGUGUAUGUUUAGCUUGUGUGAUGUUAUGUGAUAUAUGUAUGUGUUGUUAUAUGUUAGUGGGCGGGGCCCUGUGACAGGUGAGGCCUAGGUAAACAGAUAUGUAUCCGAGCGGGGCUCAAAGCCAGGCGGGGCCUGGAGCGGCGGGGCCGUUGUAGCGGGCGAGGCCCGAAGUAGGGGGCGAGGCCCAGGAUAGCGGGCGUGGCCCAGUAUGUGCAGUAUGUGGUUUUGCAUGGUAUGUGGUAAGGUGGGGAACUCACUAAGCUUCGUGCUUACGGUUUUCAGUUUUGUUUUCAGGUACUUCCGGUAGCGGAGGGAGGAGCUCGGGGUGAUCGCAUGGCACACACCAUAGAUUAGUCAGCCUGGGAAUGUUUACUCUGAUAAUGAACAUGUGUUUUGAAAACUUAUACUCAAUUUAUGUUUUGGAAUGAUGGCUUUGUUUUAAAGUAAGGCUUUAUUAAAAGAAAUUUUUGGGUCGUUACAAGUUGGUAUCAGAGCCCUGGUUUGAGGGAUUCGGGCAUACUCUCGGGUGUGCCUGAACUCAAAAUGAGGGGUUGGAUAAAAGUUUUCAAAACCGAAAAGACAGUUUUCUAAAAAGAAUUUUGAGAACGAAAAGCGGUUUUAGGAAAACAAAAAGAAUCCAGAAAAAGAAAACAACUUUAAAAAGAGAAAAGAGGUGUGGUGCAUGCAAUCAAUCGAGCUCAAGUAAGUACCCCAAAAUACCCAUACAAGUCUACGUUAUGAUUAUCAGUUAGUAGAACAGUAUGCUAGAGUAGGACUAAGGAUCUAGGGAUGACGCCUUAUGUGCCUGUAUUUGUGCUUUUGAGCUGCAUGAUAGUGCUGAUUAGACAGUAGUAGGAUAGUCUGUUUAGGUUAUGCCUGAGUUUAUGACUUGUGUUGCAUGCUAGUUCAUAUUCUUGCUGUGUGGAUAUGAUUGCUUGAGUAUGUUAUGGUUAGAUUUUCCCUUGUCCGAAUGCUGCUUGCUCUGUGCAUUGUGAGAUUCUGAGUGAUGGGAAUUAGCCAUUAGGUGGAUACAACACGUCACAUGCAAUCAGGGUUGAAUAAUCUCAGAGUGCUGGAUUUGGUCCUAUUGUGCAGCUCUCGUCUGAGUCCAACCGUUGUAGGGACGAGUCUUUUACUUGAAGGAUUAUCUGAGCCUCGUUGCAUGUGAUGGUAUCCAGGUGAUGGCUAAUUGGCAUCACAAGGAGACCUUCAGUAGCUGAGGACUAGUUUGUGUUGAGUCAGAGGUUUCCCUAGGGUAAGCCUAGGAUGAGAUAGUGCUAGGAGCAGUAGUAGUGGUUAAGGGGUCGUGGAGUCAAAGCAAUUCCUGAGGAAAGUACGGAUAGAUGUGGAAGGUAGUAUGGGCCCGUACUACUGAAAGCAGAGGAUCCGUACUCGAUUCGGGAAGGGCCGAGACAAGACCAGGAACCUGGUAGGGUAUGUUUGGUCUCACAUCGGUGAUGAGUAUUCUGAUAGUGGUUGUGGUAUAUUUUCAGUAUGGUGACAUUGCGAGAGAGACCAGUAGGCGGUUCAGGCGCUGGAGAAGGAUCGGGCUCGGGUUCAGGGACCGAUCAGCUCGAGGAGCGGAUGAGAGAGUUGAUAUCAGCUGAGGUUACGCGCAGUAUUCUAGCUCAGACUCCUGUGAUCUUUGGCACGGUUAAGGAGGGUAUACUGGAGAUCAUGGAUGAGAGGCUGGGAGCCUUCUGUACUGAGAUGAUGGCAUUGAUGGGAGCGCGUACUCUGACAUUUCGAGAGUUCAGAGCCUGCGGGGCACCAGAUUAUCAUGGGGCUAGGGACCCCAUUGCUAGCAGCAGAUGGUUGGCUGAUGUUGCCNCCAGAUUAUCAUGGGACUAGGGACCCCAUUGCUAGCAGCAGAUGGUUGGCUGAUGUAGCCAACGCUUUUCGUACGAGCAAGUGUCCCGAGGGGGACAAGGUCAGACUCGCUUCCUGUCUUCUGAAGGACAGAGCGAGGGAUUGGUGGGAGGAGAUUCGUCAUACUUUGGGGGAUGAUGCCGCGUUGGAUGCGAUGACUUGGAGCGAUUUCUCGACCAGGUUCAGGGCGGAGUUUUCACUGCUGAUUGAGGUGCAGCAGCUGGCACGAGAGUUUCAGGAUUUGACAUAGACUAUAGAGACAGUGGCGGAGAUCACCGCCAAGUUCAGGAAGAGGGCUCUUCUCGUUCCUCAGUAUGCAGCCGAUGAGGAGAUAAAGAAGGCCGGCUAUCAUGAGAUGUUGCGGAGCGAUAUCCGCCAGUUUGUGAGCCGGUCCAGCUGUAAAACGCUGGAUGACAUGAUUGCUAGGGCUCGAGAGAAGGAGAUUGAUCUCGAGAUGGAGAAGAAGAGGAAGCCGGAUGAGGUUCAGGUAGCUGUGGGUUCGGGCAAAAGGCCCAAGGGAUCAGACUCGAGAUCGAGGGAUCAUCAGGACCGCAGUCGGUAUGGAAAGUGUGGCAGGGCGCACGGGGGCGCGUGCAGGAGUGGUAGCGGUGGUGAGUCUGGCUGCUUCAAGUGCGGUCGGACUGGUCAUUUUAGCAGGGAUUACACUGUUACCGCCGCGCAGGGAUCAGACUUGAUAUGUUUUCAUUGAAACCAGCGGAGCCACAAGAAGGCCCAGUGGCCCAGUUUGUCUUCAGCAGGACGGGUGAUGGCACCCGCCCAUGCAAAUUUGAGGAUCAUGGAUGGCCGUCAGGGCCGGGUAGAGGCACCCAGUAGGGAGCAGGGCUUUUCAGAUGACGACCUUGGAGACGCGAGCGACGCCGGACGUUGCAGGUAUGCCAUUUCCAUUUCUAGUUCUUUUAUUCAUGCAUGAUUAUGUUGUUAUGAUUCUGCAUCAUCAUCAGUAUGAGUAUUUUAUUAUGUGCGGUUGAUUAUGGUCGAGUUAUAUGCCAUCUGCAUACCCUGGAUAUUUGUAUGGUAGAUAGGGGAUGUGCUCUAUUGGAGAAGGUUACGUAGGAUGCAGUAGUUGUAGUACGCUUGGGAGGGACUUAGUAUGUCUCGUUAGAUCAGGAUCGUGUAGUGUCAGAGAUGGAUUGGUUAGAUCCCUAGCUAUGGUAAGCUUGGGUUCCUCAGCAGAUUGAUUAUGGAAUGGUAGCAAGGAUUGGGUUUUUCUAUGAGCAUUGAGAAACAAGGGGUAAGUAGGAUCGAAGUGGGGGAGAAUCCUCCGAGUAAGCCAGAGUAGAAGCACACAGACCCAGAAGGAGUGCGCGACCUCCGAGAAGGAAAGGAGUAGUUCAACUUUUGUUGGUUUGAGGAUUUCAGGGUUGGGAGUUUGAGAAACUCCCCAUCAGCUAGUGCGUGUGAUGGUAAUGGUUAGUUCAUGGUUGGGAAUUCGGGUGGUGGAUCACCCGUAGGACUCGAGGGAGUCAGAAUGAGGAUUUUGAGAGCUGAUGGCACAUGGGUGCCUUCGUGUCGACAGUCAGUGGUAGGAAGUGUUGUAAGACUACGGGGCAGCCAUAGCAUUCACUAGCAGUCAGCAAUGGAUGGUGAUGUAAGACUAUGGGUAAGCCGUAGUGUUCCUUAGUCACUUCAUUAGCGGAGUUGGGGCGAGGCCCUUAUCUCCUAGUGAUUAGAUGGGGAUCAGGAUGGAUAAUGGAUGAGGAUGAUAGGGAGUUGCUUGUAUAGCCCUAGCAAGGUGAGACCUUGGGAGAGGCCGCUCCAGGAUAUAGUUGGGUGAGACCCGUGGGCGAGGCCCGUAUGAGGUUAGCAGUGUAGAUAAUACCUGGGAGCAGGGUUGCUCAGUAGUACGAUUGGGUGGGACCUGUGGGCGAGGCCUGAGCGAGGGUGAAUAGACUAGUGGGACUAGAAGGAUAGAGGCGGGUGGGACCCGUGGGUGAGGCCCGUGGGUUUUAGCAGCGCAGGUGGGACCUGGUAGGGACCUUAGUGUCAAGUUAGGGGAUCGGGGAUCCCAGGUUUGUAGUGCCUGAGUGGCAGAAUUGUUUGAGUAGUUAUAGGUAGUCGAGGUUUCUUUGGAAGUCGCUGAGAGCGACUAGUGUUGAUGUUGGGACUAGCUACCGGUGGGAGCCGGUAAUCUAGAUAUUGAUAGGUUGGUAGGGACCAGAGUGGUCUCAGUUCAACCGGAAGGCAGAUGAGGAAUGGCAGAAGUAUCCAGUCAGUAGUAGUGCGGGAAGGCGGGUUAUGUUGGAAUUCAGUUAGAUGAGUCGAGGGGUACUCGACACCAAGUUAGGACAAGAGAGGAGUGUCAGUGGUUACUGGCGGUAAAGACCCGUACUGGAUUUAGCGGGAAUAAGGGAUCGGUGAAGAUAGGAUCUUCAUAGCAGCUGAGGAGAUAGUGGUUUUUGGAGCAUCGCCUUGGGAAGGCAAGGGAAUUGCGUGAGGAAAGAAGGGGUGAACCCCUAUAGGUUCAGUGCAGUACUCGGUGAGUACCCGUCGGAUUAUCGGCUAAGUAAGUUGUGUUUCCAGAAUGUCCAUGGUCAGGGUUGACCCGAGAUGGUUAUCCGCAAGGGUUAAUGCUAGUCAGAAUGAUCAGGAGGAAGACCAGCAAAGGAGGGCACCAAGUGUUGGGAUAAUUGGCUGGGUGUUACAGGCAGACCGCAGGCGGUGGGCCAUAGUAAAAUUUGAGGACGAAGUUUAGUUUAAGUGGGGGAGAGUUGUAACACCCAAGAUUUUGAAAGCCAAGAAAGUAAAAUAAACCCUAAAUUUAGGAGGGACUCGGCGAGUCCAAGGAGGAACUCGGUGUGUCCGAGCGGGAUCCGAGUUGUGGAUUAAGUGACCAACUCGGCGAGUCGGCCAAGGCGACUCGGCGAGUAGGGUCUGUACGAGGAAAACCCUAAAUCCGGGGCUUGGAGCCUUUUUUCACGUCUCAUUCUCCUUCCUAGGGCUUCUUUACUGCCUCUCCAACCCAGAAUUCGAACCAUAAAUCGCCAUUGUUGCUUAUUCAAGCUCUUUGCCAUUUUGUGGGUGAUUUGAAGGAAGAAAGAGGGAAGGAAUCAUUGAGGCUUCAAGGAACUGCAGUAAAUCCGAAGUUAAAGGACCUUUCAGAGCACUUGAAGGUAAUAAGCCGCUCCCUUCAUCCAGAUCUACUUUGGUUAUAAGUGUUGGGGCUUUUAAGCCAUGUCUAAGUUUAAUCUCGAGGUUGAGGUCCAUAUCUGAGGUUGCUACUUUAGAUCCAUGCUUGUUUUGGUUUAGAAUCCCGUAAAGUAUCAGCAAUAGAGUGGAUCUUUGGAGCCUUUGGUCUCAAACCCUAGUUCAUGGGGUAUUUUGCUUAGAUCUCCAUCUUCACACGUAAAGUUUGCAACUUUACGUGGGGGAUAGGCUUGGGAAGAGUAGAUCUACUAUUUGGAGUCCCUGCAUGACUCGAAAGUCCUCUGCAUGUUGUGGAACCGAAUGGACUCGGCGAGACCUUCGAGUGGACUCGAUGAGUAGCUUGAAGAUAAGGAGGAACUCGACGAGUGGGAUGAACAGCUCGUCGAGUCGGAUGAAGAUAGGCAUGAACUCGGCGAGUUGGAUGAAGAUUGCUUUGUGCUCAGCGAGUCUGUUCCUAGACUCGGCGAGUUAGGUCGCGUAGUCCCAAACCCUUCGAGUUAAGACUCGAGUCAGCGAGUCGAGCAAGGACUCAGUGAGUUGGUCAGGACAGGAUUCAGGAAUCUGUAGACUCGGCGAGUCAAGUCGCGAUUGGAAGGAAUUGAGCAUAAGAACUCGGCGAGUCAGUGAGUGGACUCGGCGAGUAGGGUUGACCUGGAAGGUUGAAUUUGACCAGGACUUUGACUUUGGCAAGGGUUGACUUGGUUGACCUUUGAAGGUCAGUUAGACUAAGUAAUGUGUUGGCAUUGAUAGCUCGGGGAGCUAGUGGAGCAGCAGUUCGGAGUCAGCGGUUGGGUAGCGGUCAAAGGAAUUAGCAGCAGCAGUUCAACAGUAUCAGGUGAGUUUCCAUUUGUAUGAAUGGGUCUACGGCCACAAUGUCGGCCCAUGUAGUUAUGAGUAGAAGACUCGGGGGUUAGCCCUAGGCACAGUAUGCUAGCAUGAUAUUCGGACGAGGUCCGAUGAUAGAGGGCGGGUGCCCAAGGAGUGGUUUAUGUGAUAGUUUAUACUUGUUGUCUGUGUGAUACUUGUACGUGCCUGGUAGGGAGGUGAGUGGGGGCGAGGUCCUNUAGCAGAGUGGGAUGGUGUUCCACAUCUCAGUAUCAGCAGCCCAGGGGCAAGGCCCAAGUUAGGAAAGGAGUGAGGACGGGCGGGGCCCGUAUCUCACUAUCAGCAGGAGUAUGGA
rnacentral:lncRNA from 1 species